rnacentral:rRNA from 1 species
GAGCGCAGCAAACUGUGUGAUUAAUGUGAACUGCGUACUGCUUUGAGCAUCGACAUCUUGAACGCAUAUUGCGGCCAUGGGCUAGCCUGUGGCCACGCCUGUCCGAGGGUCG